UCUAUACAGCCUCCUUUGUCUCAGCUCCUGCUACCGAGCAUGUGUAGCUCUUCCCUGUCGGCCAUGGCCAGUCACGGCAUCAGUUGCAGGAUCAUGGCUGUGGCUCUCGUUCUCUCCCUCGUUUGUUCUUCUCUCAUCGUUUCUUCCACUGCGGAGCUGCAGAAGCUGGAGCACUCGAUCAAGGCCGAUGGAUCUCUGAGCCUUCUGGUCGUCGGCGACUGGGGCAGAAAAGGAGCCUACAAUCAAACACACGUGGCCGCGCAGAUGGGAAAGAUCGGAAAGGAGCUAAACAUAGACUUUGUCGUAUCCACUGGCGACAACUUCUACGAGAAUGGCUUGACAGGAAUCACUGACGAGGCAUUUGAGGACUCGUUCACCAACAUCUACACUGCAGAGAGCUUGCAGAAACAAUGGUACAGUGUUUUGGGGAAUCAUGACUACAGGGGAGAUGUGUUGGCACAGUUGAGCCCUGUGCUGCAAGGUGUUGAUAGCAGAUGGCUGUGCUUGAGGUCUUUCGUCCUUAAUGCAGAAAUUGUGGACUUCUUCUUUGUGGACACGACUCCCUUUGUUGACCAUUACUGGAUCAAUUCCGAGGGUCAUCACUAUGACUGGAGAGAAGUCACUCCACGCCAAACCUAUAUCUCAAGUCUUCUAAAGGAUUUGGAUUCAGCACUGGAAGCAUCAAGGGCAACAUGGAAGGUUGUAGUUGGACACCACACCAUAAGAAGUGUCAGCAUUCAUGGAGACACAAAGGAGCUGCAAACUUCACUUCUCCCAGUUCUUAAGACUCAUGGAGUUGACCUCUAUCUCAAUGGGCAUGACCAUUGCCUAGAACACAUUAGCAGCAAUGACAGUCCAAUCCAAUACCUAACCAGUGGAGGAGGCUCAAAGUCAUGGAGGGGUGUCUUCAAUCCGAGCUCGGACAAGCUUAGAUUCUUCUAUGAUGGCCAAGGGUUCAUGUCCCUGCAGCUGACCAAGACAGCGGCUGAUGUGGUGUUCUAUGAUGCAUUUGGCAGUGUUCUUCACAGAUGGAGAGUGACCAAAGAGCUUCACAGCUCAAUCUAGGAGGAAGAAAGACUGCGGCAUGAUCCUUAAAGCUAUUAUCAAGAUGAUUUCUUAGUGAUUUCCAUAUGCGGGAAACACUUGUCUGAAGAGAAGGCAGAUAUGAAGGUAAGAGAAGGGACCAAGAAUCUACAGCUCAUAGAGAUCCUGCCUGGAUCUUGAAAAUAUUUAUUAAGAUAUCAGACAAGACCUAUAUCCCAUAGCAAAGUAACUAAUCUUUAGAUAACAAUGUGCUAUGCCCUCAAGCACUAGAACAAGGUCCUAAAAGCAUACUUACAUUUAGGUUUCCCCUUUGAUCAUAUCAUGAUUCUGAUGUUUCUCACAAGUCAGUCAAUUCAUACUUGUGGACUAAUUAUGAAGAUUAUUUCCGAACCAAGUUCUUCUUCAA